rnacentral:tRNA from 1 species
GUUUAAUUAGUUUACUUUAAAAUUAUAAAUUGUGGAUUUAUAGAUGAUUUUUAUCAUUAAACA